UACGAAAGGGGCUAGCGUUGUUCGGAAUUACUGGGCGUAAAGCGCACGUAGGCGGCCAUGUAAGUUGGGGGUGAAAUCCCGGGGCUCAACCCCGGAACUGCCUUCAAAACUACAUAGCUAGAGGAUGUGAGAGGAGAGUGGAAUUCCGAGUGUAGAGGUGAAAUUCGUAGAUAUUCGGAAGAACACCGGUGGCGAAGGCGGCGGUCAGGUACGUUACUGACGCUGAGGCGCGAAAGCGUUGGGAGCAAACAGG
rnacentral:rRNA from 1 species